CAGGUCACAUCACAGGAAUGGGCCAUGUCCAUUCCUGGUUCCCAUGUUCAUAUAAAUAUUGAAGAAGUUACACUGAAUAAACAAAGACCUUGCUAUCACACAACCUGCACUAUAUCCACGCUGGGAACGUGCAGAGGAUGAGCAAUGUGAGCAGGAGCCAGAAUUUAGAAUUUCCAUUUGAUCUGAAACUGUGCCUGGUGUAAUCCCUGCUUUAAUCUCCAUCUAAUGGUUACAAAUGCAAAGAGCAAAUGCAGAGUAAACAAAUGAAGGAACACACUCUAUUUGUGACAUCAUCAUUUAAAACAU